rnacentral:rRNA from 1 species
GACGAACGCUGGCGGCGUGCUUAACACAUGCAAGUCGAACGGUAAGGCCCUUCGGGGUCCACGAGUGGCGAACGGGUGAGUAACACGUGGGUGAUCUGCCCUGCACUUUGGGAUAAGCCUGGGAAACUGGGUCUAAUACCGAAUAUGACUACAGGCUGCAUGGUCUGUGGUGGAAAGCUUUUGCGGUGUGGGAUGGGCCCGCGGCCUAUCAGCUUGUUGGUGGGGUGAUGGCCUGCCAAGGCGACGACGGGUAGCCGGCCUGAGAGGGUGACCGGCCACACUGGGACUGAGAUACGGCCCAGUCUCCUACGGGAGGCAGCAGUGGGGAAUAUUGCACAAUGGGCGCAAGCCUGAUGCAGCGACGCCGCGUGAGGGACGACGGCCUUCGGGUUGUAAACCUCUUUCAGCACAGACGAAGCGCAAGUGACGGUAGGUGCAGAAGAAGGACCGGCCAACUACGUG